UGUCUUUUUGAAGAUAAUUUAAAGUCUAAUCUGCCCACUGAUUUAAUAUUAAAGGGCUGCAGUAUUUUGACUGUACAAAGGUAGCAUAAUCAUUAGUCAUUUAAUUGAUGACUUGUAUGAAAGAUUGGAUGAAAUAUAAUCUGUCUCUUAAUUAAUAAGUAGAAUUUAAUUUUUUGAUUAAAAAGUUAAAAUGGUUUAAAAAGACGAGAAGACCCUAUAGAGUUUUAUAGAUAAAUUAAUUAAUAUUAUUUAUAAAAAUUAAAUUAAAAUUUUUUUUAUUUAUUAUAUUGGGGUGAUAGAAAAAUAUAUCUAACUUUUUUUUUAUUUAAAACAUUUAUAAGUGAUUAAAUGAUCCAAUAGUAUUGAUUAUAAGAAAAAAUUACCUUAGGGAUAACAGCGUAAUUUUUUUUUUUAGUUCAUAUAAGAAAAAGAGUUUGCGACCUCGAUGUUGGAUUAAGAUAAAAUUUAAAUGUAGAAG
rnacentral:rRNA from 4 species